rfam:Schistosoma rodhaini strain Burundi genome assembly, scaffold: SROB_scaffold0000551
AUCCAGCUGACGAGUCCCUAAUAGGACGAAACGCACAUCGUGAAU